AUUUAUUUAAUGGCCGCGGUAUUUUGACUGUGCAAAGGUAGCAUAAUCAUUAGCUUAUUGAUUGUGAGAUGGUAUGAAUGGUUGGACGAGAUAUUAACUGUCUUCGCAUUUAUUAAUUGAAUUUAAUUUUUGAGUUAAAAAGCUUAAAUUUUUUUAAAGGACGAGAAGACCCUAUAGAUCUUUAUUUAUAAUUUUUUAUUAAUUUUUGGUUUAUGUUUAUAUAUUUAUAUAUUUAUAUUUUUUGUUGGGGCGACAUUUAGAUAUAAUAAACUCUUUUUUUUUUUUUUCAUUUAUUUUUGUUUAUAUUAUUUUUUAUUAUUUUUAUAAAAAAUAAAUACCUUAGGGAUAACAGCGU
rnacentral:rRNA from 1 species